ACCUGGGUAAUUUUUCUCUGCAGGGAUGUC
rnacentral:piRNA from 1 species